UUUGUGAUUACUCUCGUUCGUGGUGCCAUUCUUAGUACACGUGGUGGUUCGGAGGAGUUUCUGAGGUGAACGACGAGUUACCAGCGACUUAGUGAUUUUGGAGAUAACCCCCAGACUUAGGACGAGUCGGUGUGACGGGAGCUC